rnacentral:ncRNA from 1 species
UCCAACCCAAGGAUAGCUACAAUGUCCUGAAGCUAUAACUGACUACAAGACCCACCCGUCGAGCAGGGACGAAAGUCGGCCUUAGUGAUCCGACGGUGCCGAGUGGAAGGGCCGUCGCUCAA